ACUCCUACGGGAGGCAGCAGUGAGGAAUAUUGGACAAUGGGCGCAAGCCUGAUCCAGCCAUGCCGCGUGCAGGAAGACUGCCCUAUGGGUUGUAAACUGCUUUUAUACAGGAAGAAACACUCCCUCGAGUAGGGAGCUUGACGGUACUGUAAGAAUAAGGAUCGGCUAACUCCGUGCCAGCAGCCGCGGUAAUACGGAGGAUCCAAGCGUUAUCCGGAAUCAUUGGGUUUAAAGGGUCCGUAGGUGGAUAAUUAAGUCAGAGGUGAAAGUCUGCGGCUCAACCGUAGAAUUGCCUUUGAUACUGGUUAUCUUGAAUUAUUAUGAAGUAGUUAGAAUAUGUAGUGUAGCGGUGAAAUGCAUAGAUAUUACAUAGAAUACCAAUUGCGAAGGCAGAUUACUAAUAAUAUAUUGACACUGAUGGACGAAAGCGUGGGGAGCGAACAGGAUUAGAUACCCUGGUAGCUACGAGU
rnacentral:rRNA from 1 species